UUGCUCGCUUCUGCAGCACAUAUACUAAAAGUGGAAUGAUACAGAGAAGAUUAGCAUGGCCCCUGCGCGAGGAUGACACACAGAUUUGUGAAGCAUUCCAUAUUUUU